GACGAACGCUGGCGGCGUGCUUAACACAUGCAAGUCGAACGCUGAAGCUCAGCUUUUGUUGGGUGGAUGAGUGGCGAACGGGUGAGUAACACGUGAGUAACCUGCCUCCUUCUUUGGGAUAACGCCCGGAAACGGGUGCUAAUACUGGAUAUUCACUGGUCUUCGCAUGGGGGUUGGUGGAAAGGGUUUUUCUGGUGGGGGAUGGGCUCGCGGCCUAUCAGCUUGUUGGUGGGGUGAUGGCCUACCAAGGCUUUGACGGGUAGCCGGCCUGAGAGGGUGACCGGUCACAUUGGGACUGAGAUACGGCCCAGACUACGACGGGAGGCAGCAGUGGGGAAUAUGGCACAAUGGGCGCAAGCCUGAUGCAGCGUCGCCGCGUGAGGGAUGGAGGCCUUCGGGUUGUGAACCUCUUUCGCUCAUGGUCAAGCCGCAACAAUGGUUGUGGUGAGGGUAGUGGGUAAAGAAGCGCCGGCUAACUACGUG
rnacentral:rRNA from 1 species